AUUGAACGCUAGCGGCAUGCCUUACACAUGCAAGUCGAACGGCGUGGCGAACGGGUGAGUAAUGUAUCGGAACUUGCCCAUUAGCGGGGGAUACCUCCGCGAAAGCGUAGCUUAUACCGCAUACUUUUGGAGCGCCCGCUGUCGUCUUUGCUGGUUGGUGGGGUAACGGCUCACCAAGGCGACGAGCCGUAGCUGGGUUGAGAGGACGACCGGCCACACUGGGACUGAGACACGGCCCAGACUCCUACGGGAGGCAGCAGUGGGGAAUUUUGGGCAAUGGAGGAAACCCUGAUCCAGCAAUCCCGCGUGUGCGAUGAAGGACUUCGGGUUGUAAAGCACUGUUGGCAGGAAAGCGGUAUCUGAAGAAUAAGCACCGGCUAACUACGUGCCAGCAGCCGCGGUAAUAC
rnacentral:rRNA from 1 species